CCUACGGGUGGCUGCAGUGGGGAAUAUUGGACAAUGGGGGGAACCCUGAUCCAGCCAUGCCGCGUGUGUGAAGAAGGCCCUCGGGUUGUAAAGCACUUUCAGUGAGGAAGAACGCCUGGUGGUUAAUACCCAUCAGGAAAGACAUCACUCACAGAAGAAGCACCGGCUAACUCCGUGCCAGCAGCCGCGGUAAUACGGAGGGUGCGAGCGUUAAUCGGAAUUACUGGGCGUAAAGCGCGCGUAGGUGGCUUGAUAAGCCGGUUGUGAAAGCCCCGGGCUCAACCUGGGAACGGCAUCCGGAACUGUCGAGCUAGAGCGCAGGAGAGGAAGGUAGAAUUCCCGGUGUAGCGGUGAAAUGCGUAGAGAUCGGGAGGAAUACCAGUGGCGAAGGCGGCCUUCUGGACUGACACUGGCACUGAGGUGCGAACGCGUGGGUAGCAAACAGGAUUAGAUACCCGUGUAGUC
rnacentral:rRNA from 1 species